UUUUUUUUUUUUUUUUUUUAAACCAGGAGAAAUAACUUUAUUUGGACUGAGAGCUGGAGAAUGAGAAUAGGACCUGACAUAGCAUACUGGGCUAAGGAGGAGAGGUAAGGUUCCAAAACGGCAGUCAAAGCUCAUCGACCAAACAGACUCUACUUCCCAGCAACCUUGCAGUUAGUGCAACCAACAAAAGGCCUGCUGGGGAAUGUAUUUUCCACUAAAUUCCCCAAGUAUGCCAACAUUACAAAAAAGAUAGAGGUUUUUCAUCAUAAUUAAAUUUCCACAAUCCUCCCCAAUCACGAGGAUUAUAAGCAGAAGUAAAAAAUCACAUUUUACAGAUCUCAAACUUGUCUUCAACAUUAGUUCAUCAUCUUCAAAAAACAGCUCCCCUGCUAAACUCAUUAGCUAUAUGAUCUAUCCAAGCUAUAUCCUCUUCCCAUUUUCCCUAUCCACUCAGGGCUCAACAGCAGGGUGAAGCUCAGGCGGGGGUAGGGGGUGGGGAGCAAAAGGGCUACUUUCCCCCAGUACAACAUGGCAUCUGAAGCUUGAUAGGAGAGCAGAACUGGUGAGACUUGAGGGAAGGAUCCAGGGCGUGUAUUCAGUCAGAAUCACUGCUAGAAGAGGAAGAGGAAUGCUUGCUAUGCUUGUGCAUCUUUUUAUGAGCUUUCUUCAUUUUCUUCUGUAUCUUCUUGUCCACUAUCACUGCUGGUCCGACCAUGCUAGGAGCCAAGGGAUUCACAGGAGGCAUUCCAGGAGCAGACGGUGGGUAUGGAGGAGGGUAGGGACCCGAGGAUUGGCAUCCUGUAUACCCUGGCUGUGGCACAGGAUGAGGGGGCCAACCUGGGGGGAAAGCUGAGUUGCCCUGCGGAGCUCCUGGGGGAGGAGGACAGGGGCCUAGGUUGAUAGGUGGUGAGUGGGCAGGACUGGAACCUCCAGGGCACCCAAUGUUGGGUGGAUAUGGAUUUGGCCCUGGCUGCCUGGCACUGGGAUUCUACAUGUUUAGGUGUGUCCUCCAGCCUUUCCACCGCUGCCUGGGCUUGAUGCAUUCUCAAGAGCUUCUUAACUAGUUUCACCUCCUGUCUGCUCUCUCAUCUUCAUCAUGCAAAAAUUAGACUUUCCGUGUUACCUCUGCCUUACUCAAGUAGUCAAAGUGGUCCACAGUCUACUAGGCUUAGCUCUGAGACUAGAGGCCAGAGUAAUGGCAAGGAAUCCACUAAAUGUACCAAACAUUGCAGAUAGCGUGUAAAACAGUUCAAACAUACAUAUGAUGACAACUACUUAUUUGUCAAAGUUAUAUAUGUGUCACUUAAUAGAAUACAAAUUCAUUCCCAAGUAUCAUGGAAUUUACAGGAACAUUCUGACACAUCCUGAACAGGCCAACCUCAUCGCCUACUACCACCCAACAGAAACCCUCUGCUCCUGACAAGUUAAUCUCCUUACCUACACACAUAAAAGUUUCACACUAACCUUCAACCCUACUACUCUCUUUCUCCUAGCCUGGAAUACCCUUCCCUUCUCUCUACUUAUCCAAACCUUACUUAUCUGGCAAAGCACAAUGGCUCAUGCCUGUAAUUCCAGCACUUGGGGAGGCCAAGGCAGGAAGACGCUUGAGCCCAGGACUUCAAGACACCCUGGCCCCUUCUCUACAAAAAAAAAAUAAUUAGCUGGGCAUGAUGGCAGACACCUGUAGUCCCAGCUACUUGACGGGGCUGAGGUGGGAAGAUCGCAUGAGCCCAGGUAGCUGAGGCUGCAGCAAGCUAUGAUCAUGCCACUGCACUCCAGGAUAGGUGACACAGCAAGGCCCUGUCUCAAGCCACUAAAAACAGGCCUUACUUCACCAUGAAGUGAAGGCACGCCUUCACAUCUCUUCCCUGUCUUCCUAUAGAUUUGUGAUCUAUAGAUGUUAUGGGACAGCAUCAUAAGAAUAACUGUGUUGAAUGUUUUGUUGUAAUGAUAAGAUAAAAAAGAGCACUUUGGAAGUUUCAAGGUUUUAUUUUUUGAAUAGCUUUAGGUAAAAGUCAUGAAUAAUACAACUGGCUGCUACCUCAAAUGAGAUGUCAAUUUUUAGGGAUGCCCUAUCUGGAAAACACUUUUUCAGGAAACCCAGACCUUGGAAUAUUGUCACCCUCAGUAGUAGAGUCUUCAAAACAAUCUUUCUUUUAUUCAGAGCUGAUUUAUACAUUAACAACGAUUCAUUUCUGAGUUUUUGAAGUUAUAUGAAGUUACCUGGCUCCAGCGUAUGUAAGCUGGAAAAAUACCCAAAUACAUAAGGCUGACAGAGCCAAAUUAGACUGUUGGAGACAUUUUAAAUUAUUCGAAAAUACAUUAACAUUUUCUACUACACACUCUUAGAAGUUCUCCUUAGCCAUCACUGGUGGUGGAACACACCUGUGUGAGCUACAGACAAACUUGUUAGGAUCACUUCAGGUUUAUCAGCUUUAAAAUCAUUUAAAGAACAAUUCCAGGCCAACACGGAAUCAAAGUAUUUAGUUUCUAUGUACAGUUUUUUCCUUAAAACAAUAUUUAAAGCCGUGAGAUUCUGCAAUUAUAGAGGCAGUAGGAAUAAAGAGAAUACAAAAACCAAAAAAAAGCCGUGAGAAAUGUCAGGAUGAUGUAGUGGGGAAAUAAACUUUAGAAUGAGUGACCUUAGCUGUAACUAAGUAACUGCUAAUAAUUUAGCCCCCACUUCAUAUCCAAGCAUUACUCUAAAUCUUUUAAGUGAAUUAUUUCGUUUAACCUACGCACCACCUAUUAAGUAGAUAUUAUUAUCCCCAUUUCACAGUUCAGACACUGAGCUUUUUUUGAAAGUUACCAAGUCCAAGGGUUACAAGUAAACAGGGCAGGGACUCAAACCCAGGUGUACUGCCACCUGGAAGUAUUAAGUCCCUGCUCCUAACUACUACUUCAUUGAUCUGGCUUUAUGACUUUAUAAGUCAUAUACCCACCCUGGGCCUCAGUUUCUUCAUCUGUAAAAACAACGCAACGAAUGCUACAGUACAGCUCCUUCCAGCUCUGCCUAGCGUCGUUAUCAUCAACCUUACAAUCUACCUGAGCGUCAACAAGCCAGUGUCAUCCCUUCUUUUAAGUGAAUUCUACUCAAACAGCAUUUACAACGCACCUACUAGGCGUCUGGCCUUGUGCUGCGCGAGCGCCCAAGCCCAACUCCCCCACGGUCUCGGCUCCCGCCGCGGCGCCAGCAGGCCCCCUUUCCCCCCAACUCUCCGAGACCAGCGGUGGUCCUUUUCCCCUCCCGACACACAGAAGCCUCAGGCCACCCCCGGCUCUGCUCCCCGGGCCCACUCACCCUUCUGGUGGUCUCCGCUGCCAGGCACUGCGGGACCCCGCGUCCCCGCUGCCCCGUCCCCCACGGGGGUCGUGUGGUGAGCACCCAUCUGCGAUCGUUCGGGGACUCUGCCUUUCGCCAUGGCUGCUGCAAGGUGAAGGGAGCGGUGCGGUGCCGCGCCCCCUAAACAACAAAACUCUGUCGCAGGCUCCUUACUACGCCGAAGUGCCACAGCCAGAGCCACUUCCGGCGCGACCUCCUCACCCGAGACGACCUUAGUCCAGCGAGCACAGCAACGCCCUGCAAACACCGGCAGCUCCCACCACAGGCUAAACCCCGCCCCGUGCCGCCCCCGAGCCUCGCGCGCUCGCGCCGGCCCAGUAACCGCGAGACAAGUCAGGGUCCUGGACCGCCCCCUUCAGUGCCCCGCCCCGCCCGCGAGAAAGAGGGCGCCGGGGCGGGAGCAUGCGGAGUCGCGGCACCCGAGUCACGCGGCUCCGACUCGCUGGCCCUGGCGUCUAAAGCGUAGCCUUAAUUACCCGGAAGUGCGGUCCCAGGGACUUCAAACCUUUUGUCCAGGCUACCGGAAGUGCCUGUGAUUAGUCGGCAUUUCGCGGCUGAGGCUGAUUCAACCCAUUACAUCAGUUCCGUAGCUGCUGUCUUCAAUUUGGAGGCGCCAGAGAGUGCUUGGUCUAAAGAUGGUGGGAAAUACAAAGGUUGAGCAAAACCUACCUGAAUUUCAGGAAACUAAGGCUCAGAGAGGGCUACGUACAACCUGUGACGAUCACAGGAUGGCAAAAAUGGGCUUAGAAUCCAGGUUGUCCUGUUCCCGAAGCUAACGGUUUUGCAUUAGCUGCUGCCCCUUACUACUAAACCCAAGUCAGCUCUACAUCUAGCUUAUCCGUAAGCUAAGCGGAAACAUGCCUUUUCCACAGGUACUUUUUCUGCUUCUACCCCUCAGAGCACAUUCAGCUUACUCACCGUGGUUACCUCUUGAAAGCAACUUGGAGGCCGGUCGCGGUGGCUCACGCCUGUAAUCCCAGCACUUUGGGAGGCCAAGGCGGGCGGAUCGUUUGAGGCCAGGAGUGUGAGGCCAGACUGGCCAAAAUGGUGAGAUGAGACCCCGUCUCUGCUAAAAAUACAAAAAUUAGCUGAACAUGGUGGCUUGUAAUCCCACCUACUCGAGAGCCUGAGUCAGGAGAAUCGCUUGAACCCCGGAGGCUGAGGUUGCGGUGAGAAAUUGCACCGCUGCACUCCAGCAUAGACGACAAAGCAAGACUCCGUCCCCCCCAAAAAAAAAAAUCCUGAUUGUUUCUAUUCAGCAAUUACAUUUCUAGGAAAUUAUUCCAUGAAAAUAAACAUAAAUAAUUCAUCUGUAUUAGUAUAACAGUGAAAAACUAAAAGCAAUAUAAAAAUCCAACACUAAAUAAAAAUGGUUAAGUAAAUUAUGGGAAACCCAUUCAAUUGAACUGUUAUGUACACAUCGUUUGCCUACUUCUGGCUCCCACUUUAUUUCCUUCAUAGUCAUUAAAAGCAAUUCUGUGAA